GAUUUCCAUGAGUCCUGUUUCCCCUGUCCCUACCCCUGCCUUUUUUUGGUUAACUUCCCUUUUGAAAAAGGAAUGUUUACCCACAAUGGAUAACAUGGUUGUACUUUGGAAGUAAAUAACUUAUUUUUGACUUCAUAGGCUCAUAACUGGCAGGAAGUUGCCUUGAGUCUGAUAUGAAUUUUUAUACUUUGGAAUUUUAAGUUGGUGCUAGACCAAGUCACAACUUUUGGGAACUAUUGGGAUGAAAUGGCUACAUUUUGCGUGUAAGAAGAACAUGAGGUUAUGGAUCAGGGGCAGAAUGCUAUGGUUGGCAUAUUUGACCCUCCUAACCAUAUGCUGAAUUUUCGAUGUAGGAGGUGAGGCCUAGUGAAGUCAUUAUGGUCAUGGGGGCAGAUCUCUCAUGAAUGGCUUGGUGCUCUCCCUGCAGUAACAAGUGAAUUCUGGCUUUAUUACUUUUUUCAUAGCUGCUUGUUAAAAAGAGCCUGGCACCUUACUUUCCUCUCUUGCUUUCCUCUCUCACUCUGUGAACUCGGAACAUGCUGGUUCUCCUUUCCUUUCUGCCAUGAGUGGAAGCAGCCUGAAGACCUCACCAAAGGCCUAAGAGAUGCCAAUGCUAUGCUUCUUGUACAGCCACCAGACUUUAUUUCUAAAGAGAACUAACAUCAGAAUUCUACGAAUCAUCACAAUCAUCUAUUUUGGAGAGAUUGGAUUCAUCAAAUGAAUCUUCGGCCAACAAGUGUGGGAAAAUGAUGUUAACAUCACACAUACGAAUGCUACGCUUUCCAGGAUUUAACAUUUCCAGUGAUCAAGAAUUACUGUAUUUUGUAAGUCAUUCACAGAUGGUUCUGCAUGAUACGCAGGGGCCACCCAAAAGCAGACAGCUGCAGCACUACAGCCCCUUUGAUGUCCUACAUCCCUGAAGGACAGCAAUGAAGGGAAAUCUUCCCAGUGGGCAGAACUUCAAGCAGUGCACCUGGUUGUGCACUUUGCAUGGAAGGAGAAAUGACCAGAUGUGUGAUUAUAUAGUGAUUCAUGGCCUGUAGCCAAUAUUUUGGCUG
rnacentral:lncRNA from 10 species